AGAGUUUGAUCCUGGCUCAGGAUGAACGCUGGCGGCGUGUUAACACAUGCAAGUCGAGCGAGAUGUUCUCAGUAGAUUCUUCGGAUGAUACAGAGUUACGGAAAGCGGCGGACGGGUGAGUAACGCGUAGGCAACCUGCCCCUUGCAGAGGGAUAGCCUCGGGAAACCGGGAUUAAAACCUCAUAAUGCGGCACUGAGACAUCUCAGAGCCGCCAAAGAUUUAUCGGCAAGGGAUGGGCCUGCGUCUGAUUAGUUAGUUGGUGGGGUAACGGCCUACCAAGGCGACGAUCAGUAGCCGACCUGAGAGGGUGAUCGGCCACAUUGGAACUGAGACACGGUCCAAACUCCUACGGGAGGCAGCAGUGGAGAAUCUUGCACAAUGGGCGAAAGCCCUGAUGCAGCAACGCCGCGUGAAGGAUGAAGGCCCUUGGGUCGUAAACUUCUGUUCUAAGGGAAGAUAGUGACGGUACCUUAGGAGCAAGUCCCGGCUAACUACGUGCCAGCCGCCGC
rnacentral:rRNA from 1 species